UCUGUGUCCCAAUAUAGCUAAUCAGUGCCAUCUCUGUCCCAAUAUAGCUAAUCGGUGCCAUCUCUCUGUCCCAAUAUAGCUAAUCGGUGCCAUUUCUGUGUCCCAAUAUAGCUAAUCAGUGCCAUCUCUCUGUCCCAAUAUUGCUAAUCAGUGCCAUCUCUCUGUCCCAAUAUAGCUAAUCAGUGCCAUCUCUCUGUCCCAAUAUAGCUAAUCGGUGCCAUUUCUGUGUCCCAAUAUAGCUAAUCAGUGCCAUCUCUCUCUCCCAAUAUAGCUAAUCAGUGCCAUCUCUCUGUCCCAAUAUAGCUAAUCGGUGCCAUUUCUGUGUCCCAAUAUAGCUAAUCAGUGCCAUCUCUCUGUCCCAAUAUAGCUAAUCAGUGCCAUCUCUCUGUCCCAAUAUAGCUAAUCAGUGCCAUCUCUGUCCCAAUAUAGCUAAUCGGUGCCAUCUCUGUGUCCCAAUAUAGCUAAUCAGUGCCAUCUCUCUGUCCCAAUAUAGCUAAUCGGUGCCAUCUCUGUGUCCAAUAUAGCUAAUCGGUGCCAUUUCUGUGUCCCAAUAUAGCUAAUCAGUGCCAUCUCUGUGUCCCAAUAUAGCUAAUCAGUGCCAUCUCUGUGUCCCAAUAUAGCUAAUCGGUGCCAUCUCUGUGUCCCAAUAUAGCUAAUCAGUGCCAUCUGUGUCCCAAUAUAGCUAAUCAGUGCCAUCUGUGUCCCAAUAUAGCUAAUCAGUGCCAUCUCUCUGUCCCAAUAUAGCUAAUCGGUGCCAUCUCUCUGUUCCAAUAUAGCUAAUCGGUGCCAUUUCUGUGUCCCAAUAUAGCUAAUCAGUGCCAUCUCUCUGUCCCAAUAUAGCUAAUCGGUGCCAUCUCUCUGUUCCAA